rnacentral:rRNA from 1 species
UUCGUAGGUGGUGCGGCAAGUUGGAAGUGAAAUCUCUGGGCUUAACCCAGAGGCUGCUUUCAAAACUGCCGCGCUCGAGUGCGAGAGAGGUCAGUGGAAUUGCAGGUGUAGCGGUGAAAUGCGCAGAUAUCUGCAGGAACACCCGUGGCGAAGGCGGCUGACUGGAUCGCAACUGACACUGAGGAACGAAAGCUAGGGGAGCAAACAGGAUUAGAUACCCUGGUAGUCCUAGCCCUAAACCAUCGGAACUUGGGGUGGCCCGCGUAGGCGGGUCGUCCCGUAGCUAACGCGUUAAGUUCCGCGCCUGGGGAGUACGGUCGCAAGACUGAA